GGGUCGGCCAUUUUGUUUCUUUGGGGGGGGGGCAUGCGGGGAUGUAGGGGGGGGAAGGGACAAGAUGGCCGCCGGGUCACGUGGGUCGAGCCAACAUGGCCGCCAGGGGUCCAAGAUGGCAAGUGGGGUGGAAGGGGAGAUCCAAGAUGGCCGCUGAGUCACGUGGGUCGAGCCAAGAUGGCCGCCGUGGUGGUUGGGUGAAUUCAAGAUGGCUGCCGAGUCACGUGGGUCGAUCCAAGAUGGCCGCCGUGGUGGUUGGAGGGAUCCAAGAUUGCCGCUGAGUCACGUGGGUCGAGCCAAGAUGGCCGCCGUGGUGGUUGGGGGAAUUCAAGAUGGCUGCCGAGUCACGUGGGUCGAUCCAAGAUGGCCGCUGUGGUGGUGGGAGGGAUCCAAGGAUGGCUGCCGAGUCACGUGGGUCGAUUCAAGAUGGCCGCUGUGGUGGUGGGGGGGAUCCAAGAUGGCUGCCGAGUCACGUGGGUCGAGCCAAGAUGGCCGCUGUGGUGGUUGGUGGUGGUGGGGAUCCAAGAUGGCCUCCGAGUCACGUGGGUCGAGCCAAGAUGGCCGCUGUGGUGGUUGGGGGGAUUCAAGAUGGCCGCCAAGUCACGUGGGUUGAUCCAAGAUGGCCGCCGUGGUGGUAGGGG
rnacentral:lncRNA from 7 species